rnacentral:tRNA from 1 species
GGCGGUGAGAGCUUUGGAAGCUAGACUGUCUCAUAAGCAGUUUUGUUAAGGUUCGAUUCCUUACACCGCAA